UUUUAACAAACAAUUUCGAGAAAGAAGUACGACGCCGUGAAAAUAGGUAGAGCUCUGAACAGUACUUAGCCGGCAAUUCAACAUCAUUACAGAUUGAGAUGAUUAUAACGAAGUUAGAAAUUAUCAAAAUGCUUAAUUGCGAGCAUGUUGUUUUGGAUUUCUCUACUGAACAACAACAGA